rnacentral:rRNA from 1 species
CACGUAGGGCGCAAGCGUUGUCCGGAAUUAUUGGGCGUAAAGAGCUCGUAGGCGGUUUGUCGCGUCUGUCGUGAAAGCCCACGGCUUAACCGUGGGUCUGCGGUGGAUACGGGCAGACUAGAGGCAGGUAGGGGAGAAUGGAAUUCCCGGUGUAGCGGUGAAAUGCGCAGAUAUCGGGAGGAACACCGGUGGCGAAGGCGGUUCUCUGGGCCUGUACUGACGCUGAGGAGCGAAAGCGUGGGGAGCGAACAGG